CCUCUGACUGCUAGAUCACUAGAUAACUGCCCUGUUCUGUUCAUUGCCUCGGAAGCAUCUGGCACCGGCCACUGUCGGAAGACAGGAUACCGGGCUGGAUGGACCAUUUGUCUGACCCAGUAUGUCAGUUCUUAUGCCAGAAUCAUGACUGGUAAGUACUGAAUCCAAGGGAAGAGAGUUCUCUGUGUUAUUUGUUUGAUUCCCUUUUAGGUAAGACUCUAGACCAGGCACCGCAAGCUCUGACAGGAAUUGCUAAACACCACAAAAGAAUGGGGAACUCACCAAACACACCAGCACAUGAAACCAAUAUGCGGAUUGAAAUCUCAUUCUUGUUAUUAUUUAUUAUUUGUAUUAUAUCAUCUAGAAUCAACCAACUGAGAUAAGCACCCUAUCGUGCGAGUUAGUAUGCAAACGUUAAUGAAUUAAUCCUUGGAACACCCUUGGGAGAUGUGUGGAAGGCUCCUUGCUGUCUGUGGGUGGUGUCUGGUGAGCUGACCCAAGAGCACAGAUUAUCUAAAGCAUGACCAGCUAUAUCCAUUUGACGGUGCAUAGAAGGCUCCUUGCUGUCUACGGGUGGUGUCUGGUGAACUGACCCAAGAGCACAGAUUAUCUAAAGCACAACCGGCAGUAAGAAAGGAAAAACCACAAAGAUGAUCUGUGUUGUGAUUAGCUAAAGGACUCUAAUGGUAAUGAAGUAUGUCACGAACUCUGUGGCUCCUUUGCUGAGGAUCAAAUAUCAGUACAUUUGCUUAAGCAUGUACUAUGGCCCUGCAAGUUACAGUAAAUAGACCUCUUUACUUUGGGGCAUAAUAGCUAGGAUUUGGGUCCUUCUGAGCAGCAAGCUCUCGUAUCCCAAGAGUUAAAGGAAACAGCAAACGACAAGCAGGUGGGGAUGGGAGUCACCUCAGGAACAUUUUCAGACGGCUGAAUCUGAAUGUUGCUUAGGAACCUACUGGAACCUAAAACUGCUUCUCCUGAUCAGUUGUGACAGAAAACUAAACUCUUCAUAGUUGCCUCAAUAUAAGCAGGAUCUGAAGCCAUUCCUCAGCGAGAUCAUUUAUUGGGAGCACCAAAACAGUCACCAUUAAUAAUACUAAUAACUACUGAGCACAGAUGGGGAGUGUUUCCAGAGUGUUUCACAAAAAUUAACUAAUAUGUUCUCACAAUGCCCCGUGCCUCUGUUUCCCCAUGUGUAAAACAGAGGUUGCAACAUUCAGCUACCUCACAGGGUGGGAUAUAGGCAUUAGUUAAGGUUUGUAAAGGACUCUAAAAAAAAGUCCCAUUAAUAGAUCUCAUGAGCCUAAGCUAUGCUGGGUUGGAGAGAAGGAGCCUUUCCUCCUCUCCAACAUGAAUAGCAGUGCCUGGCGGCAGGAAAGGGCCUAACACCUCUAAAGGGAGUAGUCUGAGGACAGGAGGGGAGGAAUUUGCUUUGCUACAGCCUUGUGGCAGGAAUAUCUAGCACUCCUCACCCCCUAGUGCAGCCACAGCCCCUACCCUCACCUUACCAGAAAAACCUCUCUCUGAGCGGCUAACAGCAUGAGCAUUACCCCAACUUGCAACCUAGUGCUGCAAGACAGGUGAUGCUUGGCCCCUGACGGGGGUGAGGGAUGCCAAUGUGCUGAAUAUAUUGAAAAGAAAUUCGAGCUACACAUCCAGGCAUCAUCUUAAGUAUUAAAGCCUUGAUCCUGCAAGCCCUUAGAUGAUGCACCAUAACUGCUGCACUCCAGCCCAAGUGCAAAUGGCAGAUAGAUAGGGGCACAUGUAAGGUUCCACUUUAGGCAUCAUCCUCUACACCAGUGGCUCUCAAACUUUGGGGUGGAGGUUGACAGCUCACGACACCCCCCCCCCCCAAGUAAUAACCUCGUGACCCCCUGAGGGGUCCCAACCCCCAGUUUGAGAACCCCCGCUUUACACUGAAGCUCUCAAGCCCUCUGAAUACCUGCUCUCUUAAUCACAGGAACACAAGGUACGGUAGGAUAUGAAAGGGGACACGGUGUGUCUGGGAGAACCUGGGUUGAAGUGCAAGGAUCCUCGGGUUAAUGAGGGAUAAGCUACAUGCUUCCCCUCUUAGGCCUCAAACCUGCUACUAGGAAGGAGUAACCUGGCACUCAGAUUAAUGCAGCAAAAAGAUUCCCUGCUCUCUUGGUCCUGCUCACCACCUUGCUCUUAUCCUUGCAACACUCCACAGACGCACUGCGCAGGAGCCAGACCUAAGUGACCGUUAAAGGCGCCCAGGGCUAGAAUACAAAUACAAUCUGACACUGGCUCUGGAAGCCAGAGAUAAAUAUGUGAUUUGACUUAUGUUGAUGAUACAUGUAAAUAACAGCAUGUAGCCUCCGUGAUCUCAACGUGCAUUGGCUAGGGCCAAUGUAAAUUACCAAAUUAAUGGUGUUGGAGGUCUGGUGUCAGAAGGCGGCUUUGUACUCCAGAGCAAUUCACCCAUCUAUUAGUGUUUUGCAUGUUGGUUGUAUGGGAUCUCAAGUUACAAAACUAUCCUUCCUUCUGCAUAACUGUUAGAUAUUUUUAGCACACUGUGUAUAAUGAAUUCUUCACAAAGCAGAACUUAACAGAGCCACAACACACCUUUGUUUUAAUUCCCUGCAGGAAUGACCUAUUAAAGCUAAACUAUGAGCAUGGCGCCGUAUUCUCAGCCAUGGGCAAGCUGAUCUAAUUAACUCCCCAUCCCAGAUAAGCACCCAAUUUUUUCAACCCCUAUAGAGAGCUAUUGGCUAGGCCUAGCAGCUCUGGAAUAAAAGUCUUCUUAAACUGUACUAGGGUCUUAAAUUGACCCCUGAUUUCCAAUUUAUGAGAGCUACAUCCGGGGGUGACUUUCCAGGGGUUGCUCUACAAAAUUUUGGGUAUGCUGCAAAUUUAUUGAUGCCUCUUAGGCAGCCCACUCUCCUGGAAAGUCACCUCCUCUGGCUUCUUCCCAGUUGUAGAGUUCAAUCCUCCAUUACUCUAGCAGGAUGCACAACUCUCUUACUGUAGCCCAAGCUCUAUAUUACUCUUGAGGAACUGCCACCUUUCUCAGAACAAUCUUGCCCACCCCCCCUUUUUUAUAUUUUUUCACUCUUCUCACUCACUGUUUCCAUUGUUCAAUGUUGUUUUCUCU